rnacentral:misc_RNA from 1 species
AAUUCUCAACUUUGAAAGCAUUGUUGUUUUCAAAGCUUGGACUGUGGAGGCUUGCCGGCAAAAGAAAAAUAUUGUCAGCUCCUCUCAAAUGCAUUAGCGGAACCUUUUGUUUUGAAGGGACCGGCUUCAGUUUGGUAAUUCUAUCUAUGCUGUUGCUGUUGACCUUUAUAUGUUCUGCUUCUAAUGGUCUUUGGACUGUCUCUGUAAUGAGGCAUACACUUUUAA